CAUGCCGCGUGUGUGAGAAGGCCUUCGGGUUGUAAAGCACUUUUGUCCGGAAAGAAAACUUCGGGGCUAAUACCUCUGGAGGAUGACGGUACCGGAAGAAUAAGCACCGGCUAACUACGUGCCAGCAGCCGCGGUAAUACGUAGGGUGCGAGCGUUAAUCGGAAUUACUGGGCGUAAAGCGUGCGCAGGCGGUCUGUUAAGACAGAUGUGAAAUCCCCGGGCUUAACCUGGGAACUGCAUUUGUGACUGGCAGGCUAGAGUAUGGCAGAGGGGGGUAGAAUUCCACGUGUAGCAGUGAAAUGCGUAGAGAUGUGGAGGAAUACCGAUGGCGAAGGCAGCCCCCUGGGCCAAUACUGACGCUCAUGCACGAAAGCGUGGGGAGCAAACA
rnacentral:rRNA from 1 species